GCACAGGAGGGAAUAUAUACAUUGUAUCCAUUUAUCAAUUCAAGAAUCAUUACUGUAUCAAUGGAAGAUGUGAAGACACUGUUGACCCAGGAGAACCCAUUCUUUAGAAAACUGAGCAGUGAGGCCUACAGUCAAGUUAAGGACCUCACAAAGGGAAGUGUUGUGCUGAAGUACGAACCAGAUUCUGCGUAAGUACAAGUGCCUAGCUGUUGGAUAAGCGGCUGGGCAUAGCGGCUUCUGGUGUAAGGCUAGGGCGGGGGGCCUGGCCUACAGGAAUUCUGGGGAGUUCCCAGCAGCACUGAGGGCGGUGGGAGCACAACUUCGACUGCACACGUGGCAGGAACGGGGCAGUGGGCACAGCACGUCCUUGAGAGGUUGUGUGUCACUAUCACAAGAUGGUGUAGUGAACAGCAUGCUUAAUUCUUACACAGGACCUUCUUUUUUGGCAGGAAUCCAGACACCCUCCGGUGCCCCAUUGUGCUAUGUGGGUGGCGGGGAAAGGCCUCUAUUAGAACUUUUGUGCCCAAAAAUGAGCGGCUGCAUUAUCUCAGGAUGAUGGGUCUAGAGGUAUUGGGAGAAAAGAAAAAAGAGGGUGUCAUUCUUACCAAUGAGAGUGUUGCCAGCCCAGAACAGCCUGAAGAAGAGGAUGCCAAGCAGACAGCACAAGACCCCUGUAACCCAGACUCUGUUCCUGGAUGUGACCCAGGUGCAGCUGAGCCAUCCCGGUGAAGAUGUCCCACAC
rnacentral:lncRNA from 1 species